AAAACCAUCAGGAGAGAGAGAGAAAUAAGAACAAACCCUAGAGUGAGAAAAUUCAAAGAAAAAGUGUGAUUUUUCAAGGAAUCAAGUGUUUAAAGGUAUGAUUUUUCAAGCUUAGCUUAAGAUUUAUCAUUUCCAUGCAUUUCUCCUUAUUUUUCAUGGUUAAAUUAUGUGUUUUGAUGAUGGAUUCAAAUCUGAUCAUAUGGGUUUAGAGAGAGAAAGUUGUUAGAUUAAUUUGAUUUUGAACUAUGUUAGUGUUUUAAGUUAGUUUAGUAUAUUUAGGAACAAAACAACAAGAAAAGAAUUUAUUUUCCUCCAUUACCAUUAUUGGCCGAAUUUUCUAGGAGAAUAUUGGCUGAUGAUCUUGAUGUUUAUUUGAGAAAUUAUGAUGAAUAAUGAUGAAUUAUGAGUCUAGAAAAAUAAUGGAAAUUUUCAGAGCAAAAAUACGAAUUUUUACUCAUUUGGGGUAUUUUCGUAAUUUGCUACCAGGACUGAUAAUUUGCACCACACUGAGGGACAUUAAGUCAAUUUGGGUGCAAUUGAGGUAUAGAAACUGAAAAAAAUUAAUUUGGAGUUUAAACGGAAGCGUAUAUCGAUUUAAUCGGGUAAUGGGCCGAAUUAGGUCAGCACCGCAUUUAAGCGGUAGUCGGAUAAGUUGCCUGUCAUAUCAUGCAUAUAUACCGAGCCUCAAUUGAUUUUAUAAUGGUCAAGCAUUUAUGUGGUGAAUUAUGUAUUGUACAUUGUGGAUAGGUGGUGAGCAAAUUACACUGGUAAAAGUACAGAUAUUGUGCUUGAAGACUGGGAUUAGGAGUGCAUCGACCCCUAGAACUGUGAGUGGACAAUUUAUCGUCUUAAAUAUCUAGAGUAAUUAUACUUGUUUGAUGCUUUUAUUGAAUGGUGAAUUUAAAUUAUAAAAUAUUAUGUUUUCCAAUUAAAAUAUUUUUUUAAUAAAAAUGAGAUUUAUACUGGUUUUAAAAUCAAGUAUUGUUUUGGAAAAAUUGAGUAUAUGGAGACUGUGUUGAAAUUUAUGAUUUUAUAUGUUAUUGAAAUUGGGGCUUAUGAUAAUAUGGUAGCAUAAUGGCUAAAUUUUUGGGGUUGGCAUGAAAUAUAUGAACAGUUUUGGAUUGGUCUUAGUAGACUGAAUUACAUUUUAUUCGCCAUAUUAUGCUACUAAAAUUUUUAUGGGUCUGGUGGUAUAUUAAAUGGUCACUGUAGUGGUGGCAGUUUCCGUGGACUGCCUAUGAGAGGAGCACGGUAACCUAAUUAUAUAUUUACCUCCGGAGGGAGACGUUGGAUGAAGUAUCUCCUGAGGUAAGAUUUGAAUGCACCUCACGGUCACUGUAGUGGUGGGGGUUUUCCUGGACUGCCUAUAAGAGGGGCACGGUAACUCAAUUAUAUACUUACCUCCGAGGGGAGAUGUUGGGUGAAGUAUCUCCUGAGGUAUGAUUUGAGUGCACCUCACGUUCGGGCCACCACGUGAGAGUGAGACUCAGCCAACGCCAAGGAACGGUUGUGUGUCAGAUGUGAAAACAUGUUUAUGGGUAUGGGUCAUUGAACAGCCUUGGCGGUCUCAGUGGGAUACCUAGACGAAGGUACUCGCGAGAAUGAUUCUGGCAGGGGCCAAGUUUAAAAAAUUCAUAAGCCGAAAAAUUUUGAUGAAAAUAAAUUGUUUGGUAUAGAUUGAAACAAAUUUUGCGUUAUGAACAUUAUUGAGAUAUAAUGUUUUUAUGUUGUCUCCAUCUACUCGGCUUUAGAUGCUUUUGAUGGUAAUUGUUUACUCACUGGGAUUAUUUAAUCUCACCCCUCUUCCUAUCCAUUUUUCAGGCUCAGGACAAUUUGUUGAUAGUUGAUUAAGACGAUAAUUAAUCUUGGAGUUGCAUCCUAGAAAGUAAGGGUUCGUAGCCCUACAUCUUUUUAGUCAGUUGGGGGCCCACGUGUCACUGUAAAAGUAAUUUUAUUCUUCAGUUAUUUUAUUUAAAGUAUGUAUGAAUAUAUUUAGCUUUUACACCAUGUUUUUGGCGAGUUUCGGUAUUUUCGAAGAAAAAUGAUGAAAAUGCCCUUGUGAGCCAGAAAGUAAUAUUUUAUUAUUUUGAUUUGGAAAUGACUUAUGAUUUUUUUUAAAUGUGAGAUUUAAUAACUGUCCUUCACUAGGGAGAUGCGGAAGCUGAUGCUAAGCCUUGCGGGGUUUUGAUCGGCAUUCGGGGUAAUGAGUGCCUACCGGGACGUCGCGGCGGUUGUCACGGACUCGAUGGGAGUUUCGAGUCGUGACAUAUAGCAUUACCUUCGAUCUAUAAGUUGCAUAUACAUCAAAUGGAUGUUAAAACAACUUUUUUAAAUGAUGAUUUAAAGGAGGAAGUAUAUAUUGAACAACCAAAAGGUUUUAUACUUCCUGAAAAUGAGAGAAAAGUUUGUAAAUUGGUUAAAUCACUUUAUAGGCUAUAGCAAGCUCAUAAACAAUGGCGUGAAAAAUUUGACUCAUCCAUAUUGUCUUAUGGUUUUAAACAUAAUGGCGUUGACAAGUGUAUUUACUUAAAGUUUACCAAAGAUUAUAGAGGAAUAAUAUGUCUUUAUGUUGAUGAUAUGCUAAUAUUUAGCAAUAACAUGAUCGGCAUAAAUGAAACAAAGAAAUAUUUAACCUUUGUAUUUAAAAUGAGGGAUUUUAAUGAGUUUGAUACCAUUUUGGGUAUUAAAGUGAAGAAAUAUAAUAAUUGUUACGUUAUUAAUCAAAGUCACUAUGUUAAGAAAUUGAUCAAUAAAUUUAAACAUCUCAAUAUAAAGGAAUUUAGUACUCCAUAUGACUCAAGUAUGAAAAUGCAUGAGAAUAGUGACCAAGUAAUUGCACAACUUGAAUAUACUAGUGCUAUUGGAAGCAUUUUGUAUGCUAUGCAUCACACUAGGCUAGAUAUUGCAUUUGCAAUUUGCAAAUUAUCAAGACUAGGAUGGUGUCAAUAGCUACGCUACGAAAAAGAUCACAAAAAAUAUAAAUUAUGUUGGAGUGAAUUUAAAUUUGAUGCCUUCAAAAGAGUUUGUAGGGAAAGUUAUAUUGUAUUACUGAACUGCAUGAAUAUAUGGUUCUUGCUAGUAGAGGAAAGAUAAACUGGUAUUAAUUGAAGAUAGUUAUUUGCUCCGAUUUCAAUUACCUGGAAACUUGCACCUACUUAUAUGGUUAUAAAACAGUCCUUAUCCCAAGAAGACAAUAAUUCUAUCAAAAAUUGUUAGAUGUAUAAUAAAAUAUUAAGAAAUGAGAGAAUAUAUAACCUGCAUUAUUUACAGAUUAAGAUAAAUAGUUGUAGAAUAUAGAACAUCAAUAUAAUGUACAAAUCUUAUCAAUAGAAAAUAGUUACUAAUUUCUAGUAGUAUCUGUCUUUCAUAUAUAAAAUGAAUGGCUAAAGGUUGUCAAAUUUAGUUGAUUUGUUUAUUCAAUAAUGACUGUGUGUUAUGUAUAUUGAAAAAUGAAUAGACUUUCUUGACUUUUUUGUUUCGUUUAAUGAAUUGGAUGGGUAAUUAUUGGAAUUUAAACAUUUAUGUAUAAAAAAGAUGUGUAAAUACUCUAGAUUUAGGUUCAUGCAAAAUAAAAGGAUAUAGACAAAAAAUAAUAUUAAAUUGUAAUUGAUAAAUAUAAAAUAAAUCUAUCCUUUGAGCAUUAAAAAUUAGAAAUUAUUGUUUUCAAGUAUUUUUUAUUGAAAUAAAUAAAAGUAAAAAAAAAAACUCUUCAAAUGUCAAAAAUUAUGUAAUUUUGACAUAAGGUAUACAAAAAAAAAAGAUAAUCCAAUUGAGAAUGACAAGUGUCAAUCAAUUAACCUAAUCAGUUAUCCUACUUUUAUAUAUAUUAUAGAUAUACAAGUAGGCCUAGUAAAAUUCAAUGGAAAGUCAUUGGGAGAGUUCUUGGAUAUUUUAAAAUAACUAAAAAUUUUGUCUUUCAUUAUUCAGACUAUUUAGGAGUAUUAGAAGGAUACCCUAAUGCAAGUUGGAUUACUAGUACAAAUGAUAAUGAGUCUACUUCAAGUUGGAUUUUUACACUAGGAGCUGGUGCCAUUGGUUGGGCAUCUAAUAAACAAAUUUGUAUCUCACUUUCAACAAUGGAGUCUAAGGUUAUAGCUUUAGCUACAGCAGGAAAGGAAGUAGAAUAGUUAAUAAAUUUGUUAUUAAAUAUAGAGUUGUAGCCACAACCAAUGCUAGACAUUUUCUUAUAUUGUGAUAGUGUUGUUAUAAUGUCUUGAGCAUAUAGUGAUAUCUAUAAUGAAAAAUCUAGACAUAUUAGUUUAAGACAUGAUUAUAUUAGAGAAUUAAUCUCAAGUGGGGUAAUUACCAUAACAUAUUUUAAAUUUGCAAGUAAUUUGGCAGAUCCUCUGAAAAAAGGUUUACCAAGGGAUUUGGUAAGUAAAACUACAAAAGAAAUGGGUUUAAGACCCUUAUUAGACACAAAUAAUGGGAACCCAACUUUUAAUUAGUAACCUCUAAUUACAAUGUUUGCAUUUUGAAUAUUUAGUUUAUUGGUUGGUGCAUGAUUCCCCUACCUAAAAAGAAGAGUUUGAAUCCCCCUUCUCCUAAUUAUAUAAACAAGAAAACCCCUCUAAUUACAAAAUUCAAUGGUUAAAAAUAAGUUAUUGUUAUGUGUCUAUAAUGCACUAUUAGAAGCCAUUCCUCAAAAUCUUGUUUGAAAAUAGUGCAGUCCAUUACAUAUAGAGGUUCAGUUUAUACUCUUAAUAGAGUUUGAAUAUUUAUUUAUUAUUAUUUAUUAUUUAUUUAUUUAUUUAUUAUUUUUUAUUUUUUAUAUUUUCAUUGAAUGGGUGUCUACAGUUCUCUUGCUUUGUUCUUGGCUCCAAAUCUCUAGAAUAGUUGCUUGUUGCUUUCCCCUCAAAACCUUUGAAAAAAGUUCCUUAAAUAGGCUCUAAGUAGCCUAAUUUCCAAAAUCCUGUCAAAGUUUUAUUUUUGGAAAAUCACCCAGCACCGUGGCCUUGAUAUCUUGGCACCGCGGUGUUGGAUUCUUGCUACAAUGGUGCUGCAGCACUGAGCUCUCGAGAAAAUGUGUUGUGUGCUUCCUUUCACCAGUGUUGCAGCCUUGUUCUCCUAGUGUUGUGGCAGUUUAUCAAUUUUGAACAUGAUUUUCACCCUAAUUUGAUCUGAACUGGGUAAAGUGAUAAACAUAAAAGUUUUAACCCCGUCUCUUAAAUUUUCAAUGGCUUAAGAAUCACUUCAAUUGGACUUCUGGAUUGAAAGAUAUGCUCCAAAUACUACAUCAUGUUCAGUCUAUGAAUACUAUUGCAAUGCUCCGACUUAAACAAAUAUUUUGACCACGAUCCGAUUAGAACUGGGCGAAUUGGUAAACAUAAACGUUGUAGCCUUUCUUUUUAUAAUUCUAGUGGUCCAAGACUCACCUCAUUUGGAGUUUUUUCCCACUUAUGAUUCUCGCCUAUUGUGCGAUAAUGACUAUGUUCGUGCCUAAUAGACGGUGGAAAACAAGGGCAGUGGUUAAAUCCCGCCUGUGAUUCUCACUUAUUGUGUACGAUGUCAUCCGUCGAGAGAUUACUUCGGUUGAUGGUUGUGAUGCCACUUAUGGAGAAUACUCUAGGUGAUGUUGUCCAUUAGGAUAUUACCUCGGACGAGAAUUGUGAUGCCGUCCGUGGAGAGAUUGCUCCAGAUGAUGACUUUGAUAGUCCUCUAGUUGCUUUGACAUUGGGCGUAAUUUGUUUCUCCAUCAACUGGCCACCAUGCGUGAUUUGCUGAUGCCUAGGAGAGGACCACUUUAUGAUGUGAUAUGAUGACUACGAAGUGGCAUGCCAUAGGUUUUUGAAAUGUGAAAUAUGUUAUAUGCUGUCAUGAUGUGAUGAUUAAUGGAAAGGCUUAAGGUAAGAGCCAUAUGUAAUUGAUAUAUGAUUAUGAUGUGCUAUAUGGUUGAGGAGAUAUGAUUUAGCAUCGAGGUGAGCACCUUACAGUAUGUAUGUUAAGCCAUGUAUGUAGACGGCCAUAUGGUGGGUCGGUUUAUACGAUAGAUUAUAUUGAUAAACGGUUAUAUUAGUAAUAAUGUUGAAUGUGUAAAGUAAAGGUGAUUAUACCACCUUAGUAUGUUAAUAGCCAACGAUAUGCAGUGAUAUGAUAGACUAUGUUCGACAGGUGACGAUUAACUUGUCUUAUAUGUAUAUGUACUAUGAUAUAUGAUAUGCAUGCAUAAUUAGAAUAUAUGUGCAGCAACUAUCCCUGCACAUUUUCAAUUAUUUAUGCUCCCGUUCAUUGAGUACUAAUAUGACUCACCAUUUUAAUUGCACAUGUGUAGAUAAAUAAAUACUAAGGAUCAGGUGACCUAGCAUUGUCGAUGUUCGACACACAAUUUUGACAAGUGGUAUAUUAUCCGCUGAUAAUAAUUCUCCACUGUGUCACAGCCUGAGUCAUAGUUAUGUACGCUUUUGUUAUGUAUAUAAAGUAUGUCAUAAAGGAAAUAUGACAGCAUAAAGUUGCCUUAUGUUAUGUAAUGAGAUGUUUAAUGACUUAGUGAAUUAGCCAAUGUAUGGCUGUGUAUGUUAUGUUUAAGUCUUGAACAUUAUUACGAGUUAAGGGCUUAAUGUUGAAUGAUUAAAGAUUUAAGUUGAUAUGAGAUGAUGUUGGCCAUGAGGCCUUAUAUUAUGAUAUAUGUUUAUCAAGACUUAA
rnacentral:lncRNA from 1 species